AGAAAAACUACAAAAGAACAACAGUGCUUCUGAGAGCAACAAUAUCCCCCGCUGGCAAAUGCUACUUUGGUACAAGUGUUUGCUACAUUCUGACAACAUUUCAAGGUAUCUGAUAGUUGAGAACUGACUCAUGAAACUGACUGAGUCUAGAUUUGUUC